UACGGGGGGGGCAAGCGUUGUUCGGAAUUACUGGGCGUAAAGGGCUCGUAGGUGGCCAACUAAGUCAGACGUGAAAUCCCUCGGCUUAACCGGGGAACUGCGUCUGAUACUGGAUGGCUUGAGUUCGGGAGAGGGAUGCGGAAUUCCAGGUGUAGCGGUGAAAUGCGUAGAUAUCAGGAGGAACACCGGUGGCGAAGGCGGGUCUCUGGGCCGAUACUGACGCUGAGGAGCGAAAGCGUGGGGGAGCAAACAGG
rnacentral:rRNA from 1 species